rnacentral:rRNA from 1 species
UACGGAGGGGGCGAGCGUUAUUCGGAAUUAUUGGGCGUAAAGGGCGCGUAGGCGGCCGGAUAAGUCAAAGGUGAAAUCCCUCGGCUCAACUGAGGAACUGCCUUUGAUACUGUUUGGCUUGAGUCCGGGAGGGGGUAGCGGAAUUCCCAGUGUAGCGGUGAAAUGCGUAGAUAUCGGGAGGAACAUCAGUGGCGAAAGCGGCACCCUGGCAUUAGCCUGACGCUCAUGUGCGAAAGCGUGGGGAGCGAACGGG